rnacentral:lncRNA from 10 species
AGAAAAAGGAGAGAGUUGGAGAGAAGUCGAGGGCUUUUCUCCCAAAAUCCUGGGGGAUGACGUGGCAUCAGCCGUGGCCUAUAGUGCACAGGCCAGAAACUGCCCCCUGCAGCUAAAGCACUGGAACAGAAACGAAGAAGAUUCAUGACUCAGCUGAAGAGAAGUGAAAAGUGUGAGCACCUACUAUGAGUAAAACCUGGGCUGGUGGCUGGAGAAACAUGAAGAUGAGUAAGAGCCAAUUCCUGUUCUUGGGGAUUUAAUAAUAUAUUCAAGGGAAAAGACACAAAAUAACCAUUUCCAGGAUUCAAGUAUUUUGUUUCGUGCGCAUUUCCAACCCAUCAAAUCAGCUGCAGGCACCGCACCGUCUAACAGACCCAGGUGUUCCUGCUGGAAGAAACUGUCUUUAAGUUUCCCAGAAUUGAAGGGGCUUUUCUCGCUUGCUCACGCCCACUCUUUUGAAACCCUAAUGGCUGAAGAGCAUCAUCAAGAGAAGGGGAAGAUGAAGCUGACUCCCUGCACCUGCUUCCUCCCCAUUCUGUUGGCUCGGGUGGUCGGAGGCCAAAUACUCUGCUGCUGGCCAUCCCAACCAGUAGGCACAGGGAAAUGCCAGAAAAGAAGCAGCUGGGGCUUCUCUUGCUGAGGAAGAGGGUGAAAUGAACCUUGCUUGCCGCAGCCAGUUUCUGACCCUGCUGCAGAGAUGACGGAUGAGAUUCCAGCUGUGAUGGAGAUGUGGUCCUGGGAGGCCAUUCUAGGCACUGCUCUUCAAAGAGGUUGUCUCCAUCCUGGGAUAGAAGUUCAUAAGGGGAAAUGUACAAACACAGUUUUCCUGCCACCUCCAAGCUGCUUGGGGCCGGACUGGAUGCCCUGCCGGCCCCUCACUCUUCUUACCUUUGAACAUCGACCCUGGCCAGGCAUUUGUUUAGGCAGGUUUUCUAAUUUAACUUUUACAACAACCUGUGAAAUGGCUACGAUUAACCCGCUUUCAUGGCUGAGCACCUGGCUGGGAGAUGUAAGGUACUUGCCCAAGGAAACCAAUCAAUUAUCAACCUGAAUUUGCCUGACUUCCCACUCAUGCUUUGGUUGCAGUUCCAGAGUCUGCUACAGGAUCUCCCAUACAGAGUGGCCUGAAGGCACUGGUUUCCCUUGGGAAACAGCGAACUCAUGUCCCUGGACUUCUCCCCUGUGGCCUCCCUCCCUGCUUCCCUGGGACUGUUAGUACCUUCUCCUAUGUUUCAUGUUGACCAUACAGCUUUGCCUUUUUCCAGUCUAGGUUUAUGCCAGACAUUGUGUCUGUUAUUUUCCCUUUUUAAAGUGAUAUCUGGGCUGAGUGCAAUGGCUCAUGCCUGUAAUCCCAGUACUUUGGGAGGCCAAGGCAGGCGGAUCACCUGAGGUCAGGAGUUCGAGACCAGCCUGACCAACAUGGAGAAAUCCCAUGUCUACUAAAAAGACAAAAUUAGCUGGGCAUGGUGGCAGAUGCCUGUAAUCCCAGCUAUUCAGGAGGCUGAGGCAGAAGAAUCGCUUGAACCUGCGAGGCAGAAAUUGUGGUGAGCAGAGAUCACGCCAUUGCACUCCAGCCUGGGCAACAAGAGUGAAACUCUGUCUCAAAAAUAAAUAAAUAAAUAAAAUAAGUGAUAUCUGUGAUAUCUGGCCAUAUCGCAUCAAUUUUCACUUGAGGACCCACCCCUGCCCAAUCUCGGUCUCCUGGAUCCCAGAGGGGUUGGUGACCUGGGGUCAGGCUCAAUGAGGUACUGCUCCUCUCUGCCACUUUGUUCAGCUUGGGGGUAACAUGUAACAAAGCAGAACCGAUAAAGUACAUUUUUACUGGGGCUAGUUUUUCCUCAUGUUAGAGUUGUUAAGCUAAUAAGAAGUAAUCCCAGAAAGCCUGGUGGUCUUCCUUUACUACCAGUUGUAGGAACCUAAUUAC